rnacentral:rRNA from 1 species
GGCGACCGGCGCACGGUGAGUAACAACGUAUCCAACCUGCCGAUGACUCGGGAUAGCCUUUCGAAAGAAAGAUUAAUACCCGAUGGCAUAGUUCUUCCGCAUGGUAGAACUAUUAAAGAAUUUCGGUCAUCGAUGGGGAUGCGUUCCAUUAGCUUGUUGGCGGGUAACGGCCCACCAAGGCAUCGAUGGAUAGGGGUUCUGAGAGGAAGGUCCCCCACAUUGGAACUGAGACACGGUCCAAACUCCUACGGGAGGCAGCAG